UUCAUCUGGCCUAGCAUGUGGCAGAUAUUCAGUAGGGCAUGAUACAGGAAGGUUGAAAUUAGAGCAUAAAAUGGAUACUUUUUGAGUAUCUGCAAUGCCUGCAGACACCAGGUAUACAACAGUAAAUGAGACAGAUAUAUUUAUAGUAUCCACCCAAGUAGAACUAUUGUUUACUGGAAAGCAAGACAAAAUAAUGAUAGCUAACAAUGAUUGAGUGCUUGCUACACGCCAGGCACUGUUCUAAGGACUUCACAUGAAUUAACUGAUAUAAUCCUCACCAAUAUCCUAUGGAUAUUAGGUACCAUCAUUAACUCUCUUUCACAGAUGAGGAAACUGAGGCACAUGAGGGUUAAGUAACCCGGUCCACAGCUGUAUAGAAGCAGCUUAGCACGAGACAGGUUGGUAUGGAGAUUCCAUAAGUUUCUGAGUUCAGAUCCCAGGCUCCCUUACUUACUGGAGAGCCUGGGAUCUGAACUCAGAAACUUACUGAAGCUCCGUACCAACCUGUCUCAUACUAAACAGCAACUACAUGUAUAUAAACACAUGCUUCAAAAGGAGAAGGCCCAAGAACUAGGAGGGUGCACACCAGGGAGCCCUGGCCUAGCCUGAGGAGUCAGAGGCAGCUCUCGAAGGGGGCAAUGAGAAAGCGGUACCCAGAUAAAGAAGGGGAAAAGCUCUUUAAGAAUAUUUACUUUUUAUAGUCGUGGUUUAAAUAAAGCCAUGCAUGUAUGGCCUGGCUCUUGGCAAGGACUCAAGGAAUGUCCUCUCCCUUCACCUGUCAGCGUUCAAAGUUAGAAACUGGCACAUCGUGCAGGAAGCUGACACACCCAGGUCCUCCAAACACCCAAGUCCUCUCUCUAAUCCUGUAUCUUUGAGGGUGUUUGGUUUUGUUCCAGUAUCUUAACCAGUAUUGAGUUAUCAGGUUCGGCCAUGGAACACUCACAAGACUUUCUUAAAAUCAUGUGUUUAAGAUCAUUCAAAGGGAUCAAAACUUCAAUUUGGAUGAAUGCAUCCAAGUGUCCUAUUAAUAAUCUUUCUCAUCAACAAAAACAAAAAAAAUAAAACUGGGAAAAAAAUUAUGAGGAGACAGCUAGUAAAAUGAAUGAGGAUUGCUGUUUUCCUUUUUUUUUUUUUUUUCCAGCAGUGCACACUGAAGGAAUAUCUAUGACCUCAAUUUCCAAUUUCCAUCAGAUUCCAGGAGAUACAUUUGAAGAAAAAAAGCCAAAUCUUUACAGGGAUACCUAGAGCUUUAGAACCAGAAAUCAACUAGAAGAUCAUUAGGUCAACCCCUUCAUUUUCCAGAGGAUGUGAGUGAUUUUUAAAGCUGGAAUGAAGCUCAUACGGGGUUAUCGGCAGAAUUAGGGCUUGAAUUUGGGAGUCCUAAGGCAAUCAGAGCAGUGCAUGUAUGGCAAUGGCACUGAUCAGCUAAGGAGAUUUUCUGCUGAGGACAAGUAACCUAAGUUUCAAAGUUAAAGCAGAGGGUCGUUGAUAACCUGCCAAAUUCACUUGUCUGGAGAAGGAAAGUGAAGUUAAAAGUGCUAUAAACCAACAAAGCCUCAAUUCCACAAAUUUAAGAACAUAUUCUCUUUCCUAAUAGAUGCAAUAAUCUAAUAGAUGCUCUUCACUUUUCAUUGACCCCUUUAAGGGGAGCGGUGGAGUUUUCUCAGAUUUGCAUGUGAUUUGCAUAUUGGUCACACAAUCCCCAGCUCAGGUCAAUGAGUAAUCACAGGCUUGUUCCUGUUCUGGUUCUUGGUCAUUAAGCAAGAAUGCCAGGUGCCUUAGCUUCUGCCAUGGGAAACCAUCACCCAGGAAAGUACGGCCAUUCUCCAACUGCCUCUUUCCGGCUGAGGACCAAGGCAGCCCUCAUAAUCCUGAUGCCCUCCAGAGGCCUUAUAGAAAACCACGAAAGACUCCCCAGUGCAGUGUGUGGUCUGAAUAUAUCAACUAUGAAGGAAACUUCUGGGCCUAUUAAGGACAUUUGAAUUUGGAUUGGGCCUUCCAUGCCACUAGGAAAUUACUGUUAAUUUUUAUGGGUAUAAUAAUUGUAUUAUUGUUAUGUAAGAUAAUAGCCUUACUUUUUAGAUAUGCAUUCUGAAAUAUUUGAGGUUAAAAUGUGAUAUCUGUAAUUUGCUUUAAAAUAUAAACUACUCUAAAAUACUAAGCAGGCCGGGUGCAGUGGCUCAUGUCUGUAAUCCCAGCACUUUGGGAGGCCGAGGCAGGCAGAUCACUUGGAGUCAGCAGUUCGAGACCAGUCUGGCCAACAUGGUGAAACCCCAUCUCUACUAAAAAUACAAAAAUUAGCUGGGUGUGGUGGUGCAUGCUUGUAAUCCCAGCUACUGGGGUGGCUGAGGCAGGAGAACCACUUCAACCAUUGAGACGGAGGUUGCAGUGAGCGGAGAUCACACCACUGCACCCAGCCUGGGCAACAGAGUGAGACUGCCUCAAAAAAAAAAUAAAAUACUGAGCAAAACAAACAAACAAAAAAUAAAGCAAAUGCAGCAAUAUGUUAGUAAAUGUUAAACCAAGGCAUGUGUCCAUUAUAAUAGUCUCUCUACAUUUCUGUAUGUGAAAAAUUGCAUACUAAAAAUUUUAAAGCAAAUAAAGUUAUUCUGUUAUAAUGAGAAAACCCCACCCCAUAGUUGUGGAAUCAUAAAGCUCUCCCACAAGGCACCUUCUCAGUGCUGUCAUCUCAACAUGGCAGAGCCCAACCUGGGUGGAGAGUAUCACCUUCAGCUUUUGGCUCUUAUGAUUCAGUUUUCCAUUCAGUAGAAUGCAGGCAUUAAAUUAGGACUUCCUCUCCAAAGUUACCAUCCUUAAUAAUUCUUAGAAGCUAGUUACUGACCUUGAAAAAUGCACCUGUAAUAUGGUAGAGAAAGCCACAUAAACAGGUAAUUACAGUACAAUGGAGCAUGUGCUGCAAUGGAGAUGGGUGCCCACUGAAGAUGGGACAGAUCAGGCUGUGCUGGGACUGGGAGGCUGAGAACUGGAGGCCAGAGGGCAGCAGUAAGAAAAGGGAGGGUAAAGAUAAUGAGGUGCAGAGUGGUCUCCUUGCUGUGUUUUUGCAUAUAAACUUGUGCGGUCCUUCACGGCUCCUUAAACAUAGGCUAAUUGGUACUUUUCUCCUUUCCUGAAAUUUCUUCAACCUUCUUUCAUUUUUCCUCUCAACAACCUUCCAUUCCGAUUUUACUCAUUCUUGCCAUAUGCUUCCUGCCUGUGAAUGUCAGCGUCUGUGUUACUCCUGAUGUGUGGAACAACCUCCCAGGAUUUUAAGUGUCUCAGACAACCAAUCAUUCCAGUCUUUUCCUUUGCCUCUUGAUAUGGUUUGGCUGUGUCCCCACUGAAAUCUCAUCUUGAAUUGCAGCUCCUGUAAUCCCCACGUGUCGUGGAAGGGACCCGGUAGGAGGUAACUGAAUCAUGGGAGCAAGAUAUUCCUGUGCUGUUCUCAUGAUAGUGAAUAAGUCUCACGAGAUCUGAUGGUUUUUAUAAAGGGGAGUUCCCCUACACACACUCUUCUUGACUGCCACCAUGUAAGAUGUGCCUUUGCUUGCUCUUCACUUUCCGCCACGAUUGUGAGGCCUCCCCAGCCAUGAGGAACGGUGAGUCCGUUAAACCUCUUUCCUUUCAAAUUACCCAGUCUUGGGUAUUUAUUCAUAGCAAUAUGAGAAUGGACUAAUACAACUUCCUAUCCUACCUCCCUCCUGAACUCAUGUGGCAAAGGUUUUUGCUUUCAUUUAUUUUUGCUUGACAAUGAACAAGAGAAAAUAAUAGGUAGCUGAGGAAGUUAAUAUAGAAGACGGUUCCUAUUUCUUUGCAAAUAUUUCCAGGAAAGUGACAUAACCAGAGCUUUGAAACAAACUGGCUUUUCAUUACUAUUGCCUCAUUGAAUACUCAAAUCAUUUUUACUUGAGGCAUACAAUAAACAGCUGCAUAUUGGGUGGUAGUAAUUUUUGACUUCAGGAUGUUUUAGAAGAUUUGGGGUACUUCUAUCUCUUAUAAUAUUUCCCUUUUAGAAAUUCAUCCCCACCCCACCAACCACCACCAUGUUCUUUUUGAGUUGGUCACUUAUAUGGUCCAGCCUGUGAUGACACAGGGUUGGGACCAUGACUCAAACUGGUCACAGUGUCCCAUUUCUCUGGCCAUAGGGAUUGGUUUAGACAUGAGGACAUGACGCAGGCCAGAAAAAUCCUGAAGCCAUUGACAAAAACGACCAUCUGGUUUAUCUGAAACUGCUAACAGCAUGUGUUAUAAUCUUGGACAGUGUAUGGAGAAGAUUUAAGUGAGAAUAAGCUAACACAGAAAAGCAGGAGGAAAGAGGGAGACAGAAAGAAAGAGACUAAAUGAAUUUUUUGUCUUUGAAUCCAGCUAUGUUCAAAACUAGAGCUACCUUCUUGAACUUCCCAGAUAUGUAAAUCUUUUAACUCUGCCUUUUGUUAAGUUGAUUUCCAUUAAGUUUGUGGAGCUUGUAAGCGAAAGCAUUUUUUCAAAUCAAAUUGAAUAGACAUAUAUCACACUGAUGUUAAUAACAUCUUAAAUGAAAACAGGUUUAUCAGAGUAAAGUGGAAAAAAAAUGGGUUAUAUAGUAAAAAAAGAAAAUGAAGAA
rnacentral:lncRNA from 1 species